UACGUAGGGGUCGAGCGUUGUCCGGAGUUACUGGGCGUAAAGCGUGUGCGGGCGGCGCAUCGCGCCCGGCGUGAAAGCCCCCGGCUCAACCGGGGAGGGUCGUCGGGGACGGGUGCGCUUGAGGGUAUCAGGGGCAGGUAGAAUUCCCGGUGUAGUGGUGAAAUGCGUAGAGAUCGGGAGGAAUACCCGUGGCGAAGGCGGCCUGCUGGGAUACACCUGACGCUGAGACACGAAGGCGUGGGGAGCGAACGGG
rnacentral:rRNA from 1 species